GCUAUGCUAAUCUGUAUCUAAAUAAAACUUAAGCAUGGAUAUGAUGAAUAGUUGCUCUGCAUAAUUUGAACAUUUUAAGUUCUCUCUCAAGUUUAGAUAUAACUGUUAUAAUUUAAAGCUUGCUCUAGACCUAAACUUGUGGGAUGAAAACUUGAUCUGAAGUCUAAGUUGUUAACGGAUACGAUAUGGGAAGGUUGAGCUGCUAUUUAUCUGUUCCUAGAGAUGCUAGAAUUCUGGAGAAUUUUAUCUUUGAAAAUCUUUAAAAUGUUGCAUGAUGAGUUCCUGUAUGAUGAGAGUUUAAAUUCCUACCACAGCCAUAUAUACAUGCUUGCUAGACUUUGAGCCACACAUUUACUAUUUACUGCUUAUGAGCAUUGAGUGUGGUCAAGCUGUGUAGACCCUUAGGAGCUUGUCAUGUGGUUAAAUCAAGAUUUCACUUGCACGUUCACUCAUAUAUGCUACUUCUACUCCGGAAGUACCAUCCACAUAUAUCCAUCCAUUUCCAUCUCCAGAACCACCUAAAAAUAUUCUACUCCUAAUCCGGGAGAGAAUAGCCAAAAAUAUUUUUUUCCCUUGUGAAAUAAAUGCUCAAGUUAUCUUGUUACUAUCACUUGCUAUAUUAUCUCAUGAGAUGAGUGCUCUAAAAAAAGAAAAAAACGAGGAAAUAAAAAGGAGCAAGUGCUCGGAACCUCGAAAGAAAAGAAAAAGUGAGACGAGAGGUAAAAAUGGACAAGUGUCCGACAGUAGAAUUAGGGGUACAAGAUACUCACCUGAGAGAAAAGAAAAAGAAGAGCAUCUCAUUCUCCUCAUAAAAUUUCAAAAAGCAAGGAAGGUAUGUAUCCCCUCAAAGAGCAAAGUAGAAUUAGACUUUCACCAUUGUUACCACCGUCAUCACCAUACACCAUUCAUUCGCCACACAUGCACAUCUUGAUUAAACUUAUUGGCUUGUUUCUUUAGAUCCAUGGUUUGACUAUGCAAUAAAUGUCUUGUAAGUAUGUAUAUUUUAUCUCCCACCUAUGAGCUCCAGAUAUUAAAGCCUUAUUAGAGUAGGGUGAGAGAGAAGGCAAUGUCACUAUGCUUUGUACCACAAAUACUACAUAUAUUGAGAGAAGGCAUAUACCAUUACUGCCUUAGUAAGGAUCCAGAAAUACCACAAAAGAGAGAUCUGAGAGAAUCAUACAAGGAAUCUCUGAGUUUUAUUUGAAAAUCUGCAAAAACCCCAGAGCUAUAGCUGAUCAAGAAUAAGAGACAUGGCACUUCGCUAGACUGUUCUAUCUUUUAACUACUCAAGACAGAAGUGACGGUUACAAGUCCCAUGGUGGAAGGUAAAGUAAUUAAGUUUUAAGUCUUGACAGUUUACUCUAACUCAAAGAUGAGAUCUUAUUUAA
rnacentral:lncRNA from 1 species